CAUCAAACAAGCCCCAAUGGGGGUACAUUCUACAAAAUAGUGCACCAGUACUUUUCAAGAAUCCAGUAAAGGUCAUCAAAAACAAGGAAUCUGAAAAAUUGUCAUAGCCAAGAGGAGCCUAAGGAGAUAUGACAACUAAAUGCAAUAUAGUUUCUUGGAGGAGUUCUUGGAAGAAGAAAAGAGCAGCAGCAAUAUGAACAAACCAAAUUGUCAAACACUGAACAAGUAGAAGGUGAAUGUACUUCCAAAAUCAUUUCCCUGAUCCCCUGCAAAUAGCUUGAUCACACUGGAGAAUGUAACCCAUGGAGUUGUAGAACUGUAUUUUUCUGCUUUACCUCAUGCAAAAUAAUCAAACUAAGAAUUUUCUGAACUGUCACUUCACAAACACACUGAAGAAACUGGGAGGUCAAGCAAGUGGUGUAUGCAAGGCCAUCUGUGAACACUGUUUUCUGAGGCUGACUUUUCCAAUACUGAGGACAGUUUCAUGUAACGGACCAAGCAUGGGGCAGA